CCCAUAAGGGAUUUGCCCAUGAGAUAUAAGGGCAACCAAGCCUUUGUUCCAAGGACCUGAGAGGAUGGGAUCGAUUGGAGAAGAGAGGACGAAGGAGUUUAGGUUUUUUGCAAAGGGUAUGUAUAAGGAGAGAGGCGAUGGAGAAGUUUGGCUUUGAUGGAAGUUGUUUUGCUGUUGGUUCGAGCAUCUCCGUUAUAGGUGGAUUUCAAGAUUGGAACAUCAUGUCGAGUGUUUCGCUCAUUGAUUGUGGAUCUCACACAGCUCAAGUCGGUGGCUUCGGUCACGCAGUCAUUGACUGCAAGAUUUAUACAAGCGGAGGAUCAGAUGGUACUGAAAAUAUGUCAUCUCCCAUCGUUUUUGUGUGCUAAAAUGUUCUACAUACGAGUUGGUGCUAAAUCUGUUCUGUUCUUGUUUUGACGAUGCAAAAGCAUGUCAUAUGUGUCAGUCAAACAUGCCCUUAGAUUCUAUUCACUGACUUUAUAAUGCAGGAACUAUUGCUCUGAUCCCUAUGGAAUGUUUUUACAUGUAAAAUCAAUCUCCAGCCUCCAAAGUGUGAUCUUCUAUUUAUGUCCUCACACUAGCUGGUUCUUAUAUGUUUCUUAUAUUCUUGUGUCCACUGCCCACUACUAACUUGUUUUUUUCUCUCUCCUUUUUAGUAGCCGCAGACUCGUGAAAGAAACCUUCCAUCCAUAAAAGGUGUGUUUAUAUUAGCUCUCCUGGAGAUCAGAAGAUAACUUUUCAGAUUGUUUUGUGCACACAUGAGUAAUCAUCAAAGAGAAAAGAUACCAAAGCAUAAUAUUGAGAUCGUCAAACCUUGGGCCCCUCAAGAAACCAUCCAUCCAGGCCUUGAUUCAUGGAUCAAACCGACACUAUUAUUCAAUAGCCAUCAACUAUAGGAAGAACAAGCUCGACGAGAAGAUUAAAUGUUAAAUCUUUAGAAAGUCAUUCUACUAUUUUACUUUCUAGCAUUUUCUUUUUAGUUAAUUAUUAAAUUUUCAGGACACCCUUCCUAAAUAUGUAACUUGUUAUCUUAAAUAUGAUAUAUAUGUAUUUUUUGUUAAUAUAUACAUUUUAACUUCCUAUU